rnacentral:rRNA from 1 species
AGAGUUUGAUCCUGGCUCAGGACGAACGCUGGCGGCGUGCCUAAUACAUGCAAGUCGAGCGGACAGAUGGGAGCUUGCUCCCUGAUGUUAGCGGCGGACGGGUGAGUAACACGUGGGUAACCUGCCUGUAAGACUGGGAUAACUCCGGGAAACCGGGGCUAAUACCGGAUGGUUGUUUGAACCGCAUGGUUCAAACAUAAAAGGUGGCUUCGGCUACCACUUACAGAUGGACCCGCGGCGCAUUAGCUAGUUGGUGAGGUAACGGCUCACCAAGGCAACGAUGCGUAGCCGACCUGAGAGGGUGAUCGGCCACACUGGGACUGAGACACGGCCCAGACUCCUACGGGAGGCAGCAGUAGGGAAUCUUCCGCAAUGGACGAAAGUCUGACGGAGCAACGCCGCGUGAGUGAUGAAGGUUUUCGGAUCGUAAAGCUCUGUUGUUAGGGAAGAACAAGUACCGUUCGAAUAGGGCGGUACCUUGACGGUACCUAACCAGAAAGCCACGGCUAACUACGUGCCAGCAGCCGCGGUAAUACGUAGGUGGCAAGCGUUGUCCGGAAUUAUUGGGCGUAAAGGGCUCGCAGGCGGUUUCUUAAGUCUGAUGUGAAAGCCCCCGGCUCAACCGGGGAGGGUCAUUGGAAACUGGGGAACUUGAGUGCAGAAGAGGAGAGUGGAAUUCCACGUGUAGCGGUGAAAUGCGUAGAGAUGUGGAGGAACACCAGUGGCGAAGGCGACUCUCUGGUCUGUAACUGACGCUGAGGAGCGAAAGCGUGGGGAGCGAACAGGAUUAGAUACCCUGGUAGUCCACGCCGUUAACGAUGAGUGCUAAGUGUUAGGGGGUUUCCGCCCCUUAGUGCUGCAGCUAACGCAUUAAGCACUCCGCCUGGGGAGUACGGUCGCAAGACUGAAACUCAAAGGAAUUGACGGGGGCCCGCACAAGCGGUGGAGCAUGUGGUUUAAUCCGAAGCAACGCGAAGAACCUUACCAGGUCUUGACAUCCUCUGACAAUCCUAGAGAUAGGACGUCCCCUUCGGGGGCAGAGUGACAGGUGGUGCAUGGUUGUCGUCAGCUCGUGUCGUGAGAUGUUGGGUUAAGUCCCGCAACGAGCGCAACCCUUGAUCUUAGUUGCCAGCAUUCAGUUGGGCACUCUAAGGUGACUGCCGGUGACAAACCGGAGGAAGGUGGGGAUGACGUCAAAUCAUCAUGCCCCUUAUGACCUGGGCUACACACGUGCUACAAUGGACAGAACAAAGGGCAGCGAAACCGCGAGGUUAAGCCAAUCCCACAAAUCUGUUCUCAGUUCGGAUCGCAGUCUGCAACUCGACUGCGUGAAGCUGGAAUCGCUAGUAAUCGCGGAUCAGCAUGCUGCGGUGAAUACGUUCCCGGGCCUUGUACACACCGCCCGUCACACCACGAGAGUUUGUAACACCCGAAGUCGGUGAGGUAACCUUUUAGGAGCCAGCCGCCGAAGGUGGGACAGAUGAUUGGGGUGAAGUCGGAACAAGGUA